rnacentral:rRNA from 1 species
UACAGAGGGGGCAAGCGUUGUUCGGAAUUACUGGGCGUAAAGGGCGCAUAGGCGGCCUGCUAAGUCGAACGUGAAAUCCCCGAGCUCAACUCGGGAACUGCGUCCGAUACUGACAGGCUUGAAUCCGGGAGAGGGAUGCGGAAUUCCAGGUGUAGCGGUGAAAUGCGUAGAUAUCUGGAGGAAUACCGGUGGCGAAGGCGGCAUCCUGGACCGGCAUUGACGCUGAGGAGCGAAAGCCAGGGGAGCAAACGGG